rnacentral:rRNA from 1 species
GGGGGGGGCAAGCGUUGUUCGGAAUUACUGGGCGUAAAGGGCUCGUAGGCGGCCAACUAAGUCAGACGUGAAAUCCCUCGGCUUAACCGGGGAACUGCGUCUGAUACUGGUUGGCUGGAGUUUGGGAGAGGGAUGCGGAAUUCCAGGUGUAGCGGUGAAAUGCGUAGAUAUCUGGAGGAACACCGGUGGCGAAGGCGGCAUCCUGGACCAAUACUGACGCUGAGGAGCGAAAGCCAGGGGAGCAAACGGGAUUAGAUACCCCGGUAGUCCUGGCCCUAAACGAUGAAUGCUUGGUGUGGCGGGUAUCGAUCCCUGCCGUGCCGAAGCUAACGCAUUAAGCAUUCCGCCUGGGGAGUACGGUCGCAAGGCUGAA